rnacentral:misc_RNA from 1 species
AAUUCGUGGCAAUUUUGCGAAUGAAUCGGCAGCCAUUUUUAAACUGCCCACUUACUAUACAGAGCAUAAAAAGGAUACGGAUAAUGGGCCUCGCGUCUUGAGACAGUAAUGUAAACGGAUGAGAUUAAACGAGGCGUGAUUAUCCCCGAAGGAAGGAAGAAUUGGACGUAACGACGCAGUAAAAGCGUGCGAGCUGCGUAGGACAACGUUGAGCGAGGCUAGUUUCGUGCGUGAAACGGAGACGGUGCUCGAGCGAACGCACUCCUUCCCCGUGAAAUUAAUGUAAUGGUGAACUGUCAACAUCCAACAGAGAGCCCUUCGGAAUAUGCCUUUGAGCCGUGUUAAUCCCGUAUUCUCGGCAGAAGUCAGAGCGCGCUCGGUCGAUUACCAGGAACGGCAGUGGUGUUGAGAGAGGGAGUGGAGAAAACAGAGGAGAGGGUUCCGCGUGGGAUUGCACGCGCGCGCGAACUGUAAAACAUGCGAGUAUAAAGAAUACGAGCGGACCCAGCAAGUAGCCCAGCAACGUGUUCAGCAACAGCAGCAGCAGCAGCAGUAGCAGCAGCAGCAGCAGCAGCAGUAGCAGUAACAGUAACAGUAGCAAUAGCAGUAGCAGCAGCAGUGGUAACAACAAUAUCGGCAACGGCAGCAAUGUCAGUUCUAAUAUGCGAGAGGACGGAUGCCACGAUCGUGUCUCUCAGAUGUUAAGUUCCUAUAAUAAUGGCAGAUAAUGUGCACAGAAAAUCGCACAAGCUGUCGGAUGGUAGUAGGAAGAUAUCGAAUCCAGUGCAUCGUACGACCACUGAGACGAUCCGUCUGGGCGAGUUAGACAAGUUGCACCAGCCGGUUAGCCUGAUCGCACCGAGCAACGUGACGGCUGGCAGCCAGUGCAAUCGAAAGAAGACGUCGUCUUUCCAGAUAACCAGCGUCACCGUAGGCUGCCGCAUGAGCAAUGACGCCGGUGAGGAUUCCAACGACGACCUGGACGAGUCGCACACGGAGGACAAUUCCGUGGAGCACUCGCGCAUCACCGACAUCGACAUCGAGACCCCCAGCUAUUCCGAGGACACGUUCUCCAAGGAGGACGUGUUCUUCAAUACGAGUAACGCCGCGCUCAGCACCGCUCCGGUGAUUCCCACCAGCUCGCAGUACGGCUUGGCCAUCGUGCCGUCCGAGGGCAGCAACGUUAGUAAUUCGGUGAACGAUAGCAAUAUCAAUACUCUGGACAUUACGUCGGUUACUGACAACAAUAUAAUCAACUUGCUGUCGAGUAACGUGAAGCAAGACGCCGACCUGCGGGAGGUGCACUCGCACGGUAGGAACGAGCGAUUCAAAGUGGUGAAAAUCGAGAGUACGGAGCCGUUCAAGAGGGGACGAUGGACUUGCAUGGAUUACCUGGAUCAUACGUCCGUUAAUCAGCCGACGGCCAUCGGGACUCCCAAAGUGUCCGAUCCGAACGAGGUGUGCAUAUCUUACGGGGUGACCGACAGCGGAAUCGUUAUACCGGAGGCUGCGAAGCAAUCCGUAGUGUCUGACGAUAAAGGGAUUAGUAUCGAUAGCAAUGGACAAGUGACGACGUCUCACCCGGACACAGUGCAUACGUCCAUUACUGUGCCGAACAAUCCGACGUCGGUGCCGAAUGCAAACUACGCGGUCAACAACUCGUUACCCCCCAAUGUACAGCAUAAUCCCACGCAGGUUCAAGCCCAGGCUAAAGUGCAGCCACCACCUACGCAAAUCCCGCAAUACUUUCAGUCGCAGACCCAGCCGAUAGCCGCUCAACAACCGCCGCAGCAGCAACCGCCGCAGGGGGCUCAAGGAUCCACAUUGCCCUCUAACUUGCAGCCCACCCAUCCCAACAGUCUCGGGCAGCCGCAGAGCAUGCCCCAGGGUUCUAUUCCUAUUAUUACGCAGACUAGUAAUAGCAAUGUGACGCCGCAGCAGAGCAUCGCUCAUGCCAAAGAGGAGGCGUACGUGACGGUGAGCACGCAGAAUCAAUCCAUGCCGGUGCAGAAUGUCUGCCAGCCGACGGUUCAGCAGAGCACCCAAGCGCCGGCCUCCCAGGCACCCAACAUCCUCGUCACGCAGCAUCAGACCGACACCGCCUGCCAGCAGCAACCUUUGCAGACGCAGAAGCAGAUUACGCAAAUCUCCGAGCCACUAACUGCCAUACAAGGGAUGCAGGGCAUGCAGAAUAUUCACAAGGUUCCUCAGACGGGGGCGCAGCCGACUUCGUCGACGAUUCACCCUUCCGGUGCGCCGGUGCAGUCGCAGGUGAUACCCUCGACGCAAAUGCAGCCGCAGACGUCCAAUAGCACCGCCCCGGUGCAGAUCACGCAGGUGACCGCCGCGGGCUGCCAGAACGUCGUCGGCGGACUGCAGCAAGGCAACAUCGCGUUUCACCAGUCCGAUCCGGAGCAAGAGUCCAUCGCGGGAAUCGUCGCCAACGCUACCGCUGCUCAGUCUGCCGAUACGACUCUGCUGGAGUCGUUGGCCGAAGUGACGCAAGGCAGCGACGAGCAUCGUGCCCUCGAAGAUAACGAAAGUAUGUCGGGGACAAGCGCUGUAGCGAUUGAUAACAAGAUCGAGCAGGCUAUGGAUCUGGUUAAAAGUCAUUUAAUGUUUGCGGUACGAGAAGAAGUCGAGGUACUGAAAGAAAAAAUAGCAGAACUAAUGGAUCGUAUCAAUCAAUUGGAAGCAGAAAAUUCACUAUUAAAAGCACACGCAACUCCAGAAACUCUGGCUCAAUUGAGUCAAUCGACAGCAAAAUUACCCCAAAACAGUUCAGGAAGUGGUUAAUAGGAAAUAUAUUUAAAGCUGUAAAUUUGAAGUUUCUUUCAAAAUGGUAAAAAAUAUCAUUUUGGACAUGUACAUUGUUACGAUUCUAGACAGAAACUGAGACAUAUAUGAGUGCAUGCCAAAACUAAGCAGCGUUAGUGACAGAGUUGGCAUUAUUUUACAUUAGAAACACGAAUCCCAACAUGUUAAAAAGAAGUAACAGUACGGUGGAAUAGGCAGCUUAACAUUCCUAGAUUACUUUUCCUGUUGUUUUAAUGUUUAGCUAAUUUAACUUACAAAUUUGAUCGAAUAUAGUGUAAUUGGCAAGUCGAACGAAGCCCUGUUCUGUUGAUUAAAAUAGAUAUUGGUGGUAAAUUUUGCUAACAUUUGUCACUUUUGAAUAUCAAAUCUAAUAUUUUAUAAUCUGAUAUUCGUGUUGUAGCCUGGUUUUUAAAGUUAUAUAUACAUAUAUAUAUAUAUACAUAUAUAUUGUAAUCAUCAAGCCGAUAUCCAAGAGACUUACUAUUGGUGUGCAUCAAAAAACCUGCAAUUCCCUGUCAACAUCUUAUGUUACAUUUUAAAAACGCCUAAUAAAAAAGAAGAUUUUUAAUUGUAUCGCAAUUGUCAAAAUUCUUGGUGUGAGGUUGCAAUAUAUCUUUAUGAAGAUAUAUAUAUAAAGAUUAUAUGAAGAUAUAAUUAAAAUGUGAGAAGUUUGUUAUGCAGUA